rnacentral:rRNA from 1 species
GGCGGCAUGCCUUACACAUGCAAGUCGAACGGCAGCACGGGGGCAACCCUGGUGGCGAGUGGCGAACGGGUGAGUAAUACAUCGGAACGUGUCCUGUAGUGGGGGAUAGCCCGGCGAAAGCCGGAUUAAUACCGCAUACGAUCUACGGAAGAAAGCGGGGGAUCCUUCGGGACCUCGCGCUAUAGGGGCGGCCGAUGGCAGAUUAGCUAGUUGGUGGGGUAAAGGCCUACCAAGGCGACGAUCUGUAGCUGGUCUGAGAGGACGACCAGCCACACUGGGACUGAGACACGGCCCAGACUCCUACGGGAGGCAGCAGUGGGGAAUUUUGGACAAUGGGGGAAACCCUGAUCCAGCAAUGCCGCGUGUGUGAAGAAGGCCUUCGGGUUGUAAAGCACUUUUGUCCGGAAAGAAAACUUCUGCCCUAAUACGGCGGGAGGAUGACGGUACCGGAAGAAUAAGCACCGGCUAACUACGUGCCAGCAGCCGCGGUAAUACGUAGGGUGCGAGCGUUAAUCGGAAUUACUGGGCGUAAAGCGUGCGCAGGCGGUUCGUU